rnacentral:rRNA from 1 species
CCCGAACCGAACCGCAACGCCGCCCGCAGCUCCCUCCUGCCGUCGCUCCCCUCGCGCCCGCAAGCCGCGUCGCCCGCGACCCACACCUCCGCCACGCCCCGCUGCCGGCGACCUUCACCGCCGGACCUCCGGCCGCUCCAACGCCUCGCCCCUCUCCCUUCUCCUCCUUCCUCUCGGUCUCCUCUCACCUCUCUCCCUCUUUCUCGCCGAACAUGGACCUCCAGGAGGGCCAUGGCGCCACCGGCCCUCAAUCUUGCCGGAUCCGGCCGCCUCCGCGCCAAAUCCGCCAUAAAUGGAUCCACCCCGGCCAGAUCCGACCGGUCCCCGCCGUCGCCGCCACCGGAGCGCCGCCCCGCUCGACCUGCAGCGCCGCCGCUGCCUGUCCCAGCCCACGUCUGCACGAGGACGACGCUCGUCCCGCUCGCUCGCAGCACUUGCUCCAGGCCGCCGCCCCAGCCGGCCCGGCAUCAAGCCAAGGCCCAGUUCAAGCCGCAUCUUCUGCCGCUUUGUCACCGCCCGCCCGUGGCACCACCUUGAGAUCAGCCCCGACGCCACCACCGAGCUCCCCUGUGCUCGUCGGGCACCCGCGGUCCUAAAUUUGGCUGGUUCAAAUUAAGUUGGAAGAAAAGGAAGGGGAGACGCGCAGGCAGAGCUCGCCGGCGGCAGCGCUUACCCCGGGCGCGGGGGUGAUCAGCCGAUGCGGUGGUGGCCAUGGGCGCCGGUGGCUGGAAGAGGUACAGAGGAGAAGGGGCGCAAGAGGGAGAGAGAUGAUAGGAAGGGGAGGGCUAGCGGGCUUGUGAAGGUCGACGGCGGCGAAGUUGAUGCCCGUGCCGUGGGGGAAGCGGAUCUUGGCUGGGGAAGGGAGGGAGAGGAGUGGCGGUUGCACCCGGUGCGGCGGCGAGGAGAAGUAAGCGCGAGGUCGGAGGCGCGGGAGCAUGGGAGGUCGCUCCCUGGGCGGAGAAACCAGCGACAAUGGUGAUCCCUCCACCAGACAGGGCAGCUAGAAUCGUCGGUUUUCUCAAGCCCAACCUUUUGAGGAUGGAUUUCUCGAACAAGUUUGUGACCGCCCAGGUGAUCCACACCCCAACAACAACCGUCCCGUGUUCUGCGAGCUCACGGGAGAAGCUGCUGAGAUCGCACAUGUAGUCGACCGGCGACGUCUCUGCCGCCGCAAAGAUUGGAAAGUUGUUGGGCGAGCGCCUGCUGCUCAAGUAGAUACCUGCCGUGUCCAUCCACAUGAAGAGAGAGCAGAAGUACCAUGGGAAAGUCAAGGCUGUUGUAGAUUCUGUCAGAGAAGCUGGUGUCAAGUUGUUGUGAUGGUGAAAACAUAGAGCUCGGCUUAGCAUUUGCGCAGUCUUAGCUGUAUUUCUGAUGUUUGGACUGAUUCACAACCACUUUUGUGUUUAUGAAUUCGACGCUAAACGAACGUUGUCCAGGACCCACGUUAAUAAAAGGACUGUGUUGUCGGGACUCAAC